rnacentral:rRNA from 1 species
CGCGUAGGCGGCACUGUAAGUCAAAGGUGAAAGCCCUCGGCUCAACCGAGGAACUGCCUUUGAAACUGCCUUGCUUGAGUCCGGGAGGGGGGAGCGGAAUUCCCAGUGUAGCGGUGAAAUGCGUAGAUACUGGGAGGAACACCGGUGGCGAAGGCGGCUCCCUGGACCGGUACUGACGCUGAGGUGCGAAAGCGUGGGUAGCAAACAGGAUUAGAUACCCUGGUAGUCC